GAGUUUGAUCUUGGCUCAGAUUGAACGCUGGCGGCAUGCCUUACACAUGCAAGUCGAACGGCAGCACGGGAGCUUGCUCCUGGUGGCGAGUGGCGAACGGGUGAGUAAUGCAUCGGAACGUAUCCUGGAGUGGGGGAUAACGUAGCGAAAGUUACGCUAAUACCGCAUAUUCUGUGAGCAGGAAAGCGGGGGACCUUCGGGCCUCGCGCUCUUGGAGCGGCCGAUGACGGAUUAGCUAGUUGGUGAGGUAAAGGCUCACCAAGGCGACGAUCCGUAGCAGGUCUGAGAGGAUGAUCUGCCACACUGGAACUGAGACACGGUCCAGACUCCUACGGGAGGCAGCAGUGGGAAUUUUGGACAAUGGGGGCAACCCUGAUCCAGCCAUGCCGCGUGAGUGAAGAAGGCCUCGGUUGUAAGA
rnacentral:rRNA from 1 species